GGAAAUGUGGCCAUGCCUCCAAAUAUAGGAACGGCCUGGAGAAAACAUCCCAUCCCACCCCAGGGGGGCGCCACUGAGCAGAAUCUUCUCAGCAUGUGGGAUCAGAAAACACCGAUCAUGUGCAAGUCUCUGUGAUGGGUCUACGCACUCCCGUGGAAACCCAGCCUGUCCAGCUUGGCAGUGAAUUCUCAUGUACUGAAAUUGGAGCUGGCAGCCUGCUCAUCCAGACCUCUGCUCGCCCAGACGGAUGUGUCCACUGUGAUGCUGUCUUCGUGUCCACGCUCAGUACUGAGGACUACUCAGCAAUCUGGUUCUUACAUCGAAGAACCAAAUCAACUAAGAAUUUAAAGAACACAAGCAAGCCAGGCACUGUGGUGCACUGCUGUCAUCUCAGUACUCUAGAAGGCUGAUAAAGGAAGAUGGAGAGCUUGAACCCAACCUAGGUAUCUUAGCAAUUAACAAAGGGCUGGGAUAUAACUCUAUGAGAAGGCCCUGGGUUCAACCCACAGUACCACCAAAAAAAGAAAAAAAAAAAAAACUUUUUAAAAAUGAUGUUUUAUCUGACUGCAUAUAUUUUCCUAUGUUGUCUGACUUUGAUUUUUUUUUUUUUUUUUUUUUUUUGGUACCAGCAAUUAAAGUCAGGACCUAACUUUGAUUUUUUAAAAGCACUCUAACCCCACGAUGUAUUACAGGGAAGUGUUCAUGAAAAAUAUCAAUCUGUGAUAUGUUUUUAUAGAUCCCAAAUUGAGAAAGAGUACAUAAGCAAGUUAGCCAUCACAGUCCUGUUUUGUUUUUUUUUUUUUGGUUUUUCUCCGGUACCGGGAACCGAACUCACGACCUUGCGCUUGCCAGGCAGGCGCUGUUUUGUUUUUUGUUUUUGGUUUCUCUCCGGUACCAGGAACCGAACUCACGACCUUGCGCCUGCCAGGCAGGCGCUUUUGCCGCUGAGCUAAAUCCCCAGCCCCGCCAUCACAGUCCUGAAUCAAGGUUAAUUACACUCUACACAGUAUUUAUACAUUGGAAUCCUCCAUUAUCUCAUGAAUGAAAGGUCAUGUCAUAUAUCUCAAGUGCUAUUUUCAGAAAAGUCAAUCCUGUUACUAGUAUAAUUUUAACUUUAAAUAUAUUUAGUGUAUUCAUUUGAACAAGUGAUUUAGAAUAAUUUUAAAUGACUGGGGGGAAAAAGGCAGUACUUCAUUUAGAUGGCAAAUAUAGCCAAUUAACUACUUCUAAGAUUAUUUGAACAGACUGAACCCAUAUUGAUGAAAAUUGUUUGAUUUUCCUUUUUUAGUUUAUGUAACAGAUAUCUACAAGGGCAUCUAUCUAGGUGUCAUUUAGAUACUGCGUGCACAGAAGUAAAUAAAACACACAAAAGUCCCUACUCAGGGAGUUGAAGGGGCAGGCAAAUGAGCAAAUAAGAUAACUCAGGUAAUGAUAAAUAUUGUGAAAAGUAUUUUUAAAAAGGAAGAAAAUCAAGAGAACAAAAGAUGCCUGGAAGAACAUUUUAGCCUGGAUGGUAGGGGAUUACCCUACCUGAAACAUUAAAACCUAAAAACCUUGUAUGUAUGUGAAGACUAUGGAAGGAAGAUUUCAGAGAGAAAAGCAAAAGCACAUAGUAAAAGAGAAAGAAAUAGAGAGAAGAAAAGGAAAGAAAAAGAAAGAGCAAGUGAGUUCACCCAGUGCCAUUUAUUACAAAAUGAAAGGGAGAGUGGUACAGCUUGUCUGUAGGUCUACCUUGCACAUCAAUGUAUUUAUUCCAAACUAGAAUUUGAAACAAUAAAAUUUCAACCAUCUAAAAAGGUAUUUGAAUGAUUUCUAAAAAUCACUGCAAUCUCUUUAGGAAAUUUCUAAAGUAAGUAUCACAAAACUUUAUUUUAAUUAUACUUUCCUCUUAUAAAAGAAAGUCACUGUAUUCUGGUGUAUGUUCAAUGUCAGGGUAAAGGUCCGAGUUCCCUUAGAAGCGAAGCACAACUCAUUUUGGCCACAAGAGGUAGCCAAUGCCGUAUAACUGUAAAUAUUUCCACCCAAUCUUAAAGAGAGAAAAUAUUUUAAAAUGGAUUUCUUUCCACAUAAAAUGGGUGGAUCUAAGAACCUUCUAUCUUAAAAAAUAAAAUAUAUAUUCUAGAAAAUAAAAUAUAUAUUCUAGAUUAUUAGUCCUCUGAGGGAAUAGCCGGCAAAAUUUUUUUCCCAUUUUACAGGUUAUCUUUCGACUCUGUUGGAUGUUUCUUUUGCUGUGCAAAAAAGCUUUUUAAUUUGAUAUGCACCUGUUUGUUGAUUCUCAAUAGUACUUCCUAUACAACCAGGGUUCUGUUCAAAAGACCUUGCUUAUACCUAUGACUUUAGGAGUUUUACCUAUCUUAUCUUCUAGCAAUUUGAAAUUAAAUGUUUUAACAUUUAGUUUUUUGAUCCACUUUGACUUUGGUUUAGUACACGGUGAGAGAUAUGAGUCUAGAUUUAAUCUUCUGCAUGUGGACAGCCACUUUUCCCAAAAUCAUUUAUUAGUCUACCUUUCCUCCAAUGCACAUUUUUGGCUCUCUUGUCAAAGAUCAGAUAGUUGAAUGUGCUUGGGGUUGUUUUUGCAGCCUCUUCUUUGUUCUACUGAUCCUCAUGUCUGUUUUUGUGCUAGCACCAUGCUGUUUUUAUCACUAUAACUUUGUAAUAUAACUUCAAGUCCAGGAUUGUGAUGCCUCUUACUUUGUUUUUGUUACCCAGGACCGCUUUUGCUAUUCUGGGUCUCUUCUAGUUCCACAUGAAUUUUAGGAUUGUUUUCUCUAGUUCUGUAAGAAUGCUAGUGAUAUUUUGACUUGGACUACUAUAAACCUGUGUAUCAAUUUUGGAUGUCCAUGUUUGCUAUACUGGUUACGCCUAUCCAGGAAUAGGGCAUGUCUUUCCAUUUUCUGAUGUCUUCUAUUUCCUUUAUCAGAGUACUGCAUUUUUCACUGUAGAGGUCUUUCACUUACUUAGGUUAAUUCCUAAGUAAUUAUUCUUGGUGCUAUUGUGAAUGGUAUUUUUUUAAUUUCUUUCUCAGUGGGUUACUAGACCCCCCUAAGAUAUAGUACAAGACCCAGUCAAAAAGAUUAGCAAGUGAAAUGAAGAUACUUCAUACAAAAAGGUACAAAUGGCCAAUAAAUACCUGAAGAAAUGCUCAACAUCUCUGACCACUAGAGAUAUGGUCAAAUUAAAACAAUACUGAGACUCCAUUUUACCCCAGAAAGAAUGAUCAUCAUCAAAAAGUCAAAUAGUAAAAAAUGCUGGCUAGGCUGCAAGGGAAAAAGGAUAUUUUGGUGAGAACGUAAACUAGUACAACUACUAUAGAAAUUAGUAUGGAUAUUUCUCAAAAAAACUAAAACUAGAAAUUCCAUUUGAUCCAGCUAUUCUCCUCGUAGGUAUCUUCUGGAAAGUUCAAGACAUUAUAUUACAGUAAUACAUGCAUACUCCAUGUUUAUAGCAGCACAAUUCAUAACAGCUAAUUCUUGG
rnacentral:lncRNA from 1 species